rnacentral:rRNA from 1 species
GUGAAUUGAAAUAUCUUAGUAACUUUAGUAAAAGAAAUCAAACGAGAUUGUUAUUUGGUGUCUUCUGAAUAGCAAAAGCCUUAAUAAAUAAUUACUAUAUUUACCAAAUAUAGGUUAUAAUUGUUUAUAGUAAAUAUACUAUUUAGUAUAUUUAAGUAUAACGGAAAAAAAUCUGUUGAAAAAUAGGGGAACCUUCCUCUAAGGCUAAAAAAAAUAUAUAAGCGAUAGAGUAACAGUACCGUGAGGGAAAUACCCUGAAAUAGUAGUUUUAUAAGCAGCUCAAGUUAAAAUUUAAAUAAAUAAUAAGAGCGUACCUUUUGCAUAAUGGGUCAGCAAGUUAAUUUUAGAUGCAAGUAACAUCUCUUUUAUAAGCAUUUACAUAUAGAACAUUAGACAUUAUGUCUAAUGAUAUUAUUUUAAUAUUGGUAUGUAAAUUUAUUAAUAAAAUUAGGAGGUAGAUACGCAGAUAAACCAAUUAUGAAAAAAUGAAUUAGUAUCUAGAAUUAGACCCGAAGGCUAGUGAUCUUACCAUGGUCAGGGUUAUAAAAGCCCGAACGGGUUAUCGUUGUAAAGAUAUCCGAUGAACUGUGGUAAGUUAGUGAAAGACAAAACUGACUAGUAUAGCUGGUUUUCCGCGAAACCUAUGUAAGUAGGUAAUUUAAUUAACAUCUUAGCAGGUACAGAACUGUGAUCUCGGACAAUAUCUAAGAUAUUUGUCAACAUCGGGGGGUUGUAGUGACUUUACCGGAGAGUAUUUGCACUCGGAAGGGCAAAGAUGAAUGUUAAAUAAUCGGACAUAGUGCGAUAAGGUUGUAUGUCUAAAGGGAAACAGCCCAGAACAAGAGUUAAGGUUCCAAAAUUAUUGUUAAGUGAAAUUAAGGAUGUUUUUUUUAAAACAAUCAGGAAAUAGGCUUAGAAGCGGCCAUUUUUUGAAGACCUCGUAACAGAGCACUGAUUAAUAAAUUAGGAAAAAACGCCGAAAAUUUAACGGAUCUAAAUAAUAUACCGAAACCUUGUACACAAAUUAAAAUUAAAGCGCUGUGGCUUAGAUUAGAUGUUAAAUCUAAAUUUAAGCGCUGUGACUUAGGAUUUUUGUGGGGUAGCGGAACAUUGGAUUAAACAAAAUAUUAAUAUUUUUCUUAAAAUAUUAAAGAUCUUGCAUAAAGCUAUCUAAACUAAAUAUAUGAUUUAUUAUAUAUUGUGAUUGAUUAUUUAUUUAACUAUACUACAAUAUAAUAUAACUAAUUGAUUAUAUAUUUAACGAUAUAUUUUUAAAUUAGUUAUUUAGUGUGGGUUAUAUAGUUAAAUAAAAAAAGUUAGUAGUAGUAAAUAUAGUAGUUUAAAUAUUAUAUUACGAUUUAUGAGUAUCUGUUAAAUCCAAGAGAGAAUGCUGACAUGAGUAACGAAAAAGGCUUUUAGCCUCGCCUGAAGCUUAUGGUUUCAUCUAAAAUCGGUGUCUAAAAAAAUUAAUCAAAUGAUAAUUUUGAUGACGUUUUAUGCUUUUUUUAUAUGAUAAUACCAAAACCUUUAACAAGUAAUAAAGGUUCUGGAAAAGUUUAUUUUAUUAUUUGAAGUGGAAAAUAUUUAAUACUCAUACUUAUUGGUAUAAAAUUGUAAAUUAUAAUAUAUAAUACAUACUUAUUAUAAUAUUGUGAUUUACAAAUAUAAUAGAGUGAGUAAAAUAAUAAAUAUUUUUUAACCAAGUAAUAGUCUUUAUCUAUUAUAAUGAUAUUAAAGAUAAUAAUUAAUAAUUAAUUACCAUUAGAUUAUUAAUAUGUAUUUAUAGAUUAUAUAAUGAUUAUUAUAUAAAAUAUAUUUAUUAAAUAUUAUUAUUAAUAAUACUAUAAUAUAUAGAUUAAAGACAACUUUACACUGGUAAAAAAAAUAAAAGAAAAAAAACAAUAAAUAACCGUACCUAGAAACUAACUCAAGUAAGCAAGUAGAGAAUACAAAGGCGUUUGAGAGAACAAUCAUUAAGGAACUCGGCAAAUUGACUCUGUACCUUUGGAAUAAGGAGGACCAUUAUUAUUAAAUUUAACAUAUAGUAAAGUAUGAAAUUAAAUAUGAAAAAUUAAAUUAAUAAUAAGAGGAAUCAUGAAAUAAUGUUGUACGACUGUUUAAUAAAAACACAGCACUCUGCAAAGAUAAAAAAUCAAAGUAUUGAGUGUGAUGUCUGCCCAAUGUCGGCUGGGUAACGGAUCUACCUUGAUUAUUAACUGAGGUUUUGAAGGACACCCCGAUUAAUGGCGGCCUUACCUAUGAGGGUCCUAAGGUAGCGAAAUACCUUGGCCGUUAAAUGCGGUCCUGCAUGAAUGACUUAACGAUGCAACAGCUGUCUCGAUGAUUGUCUCAGUGAAAUUGGAAUAGCAGUGCAGAUACUGUUUACCUCUAGAUAGACGAGAAGACCCUAUGCAGCUUUACUGUUACUAAUUAUAGGAGUGAAAUUUUAGGAUGAUUUAUAGUGUAUAAGGUAGUUGUUUAGAUAAUAAUGAAACACCUUUAUUCGAAUCCUUAUAUAUACUCUUAAUGAUUAGAAGGCAGUUUAUGCGGGGCACAGAUCCCACAAAAAGUACCUGGGUAUAUCCAAAGUUCAUAUUGUAAACUUGUAUAUUUAUAUACAAAUAUUUUAAUUUGUUCUAAUUAUUAUUAUAAUUAUACAGUUAUUAUUCGAUUAAAUUCCACAAUUAUUUUUUAUUUUAAGUAAGAUUUUAACUAUGCGGUGAAUAGAUGUAUUUUAAACUUUACUGGACUUUGUUCUAAUUUUAGUUCAAAGAUUUAAAAGUUUAUUUGUUAUAUUAAUAAAGUAUUUAUCUUUAUUAAUAUAAUGUUUAUUAAUACUUUAAAAGUUUAAUGGCUAAAUCUUGCUUUACUGUUUGACCUACAAGUCUAUCAGUCGCGUAAGCGGGGCAUAUGAUCACAAGAUGCAUUAAGGAAAGGUCUUGGAUUAUAGAAAAAGUUACGCUAGGGAUUUAUAACUGUGAGUCCUCCAAUAUUAUAAAAUAUUGGUAAUAUAUUGGGUAAAUUUCAAAGACAACUUAUAUUAGUUAAGUGUAUUUGAAGCGAAACUUAUUUUAGCAUGUGUUUAUCUUUAAGAUAAAUUAAAAUAAGGACGUUCAACGACUAAAAGGUGAGUAUAGCUAACAAUAAUCCUUUUUUAACGCCCAACAUCUUUAUUAAUUAUUAUCAUAAUUAAAUACACUAUUUGUAUAAUAAUUAUUAUUUUUUAAUAAUGUAUUAGACUUGGUUUACCAAGCUUUAAUAUUAUAUAAUUAAUUCUAUUAAUUAUAUUAAUAUCUAGAUAUAUAUAUAGAUAUGUUAAAUAUUAUAAAAUCAAAAUUAAAUACUACAUUAAAAAAAAGGAUUAAAUGAUUCUAGUAUAGCUAUUUAUAAUAGAGAUGUAAUACCUGCUGUAAGGAAUUGAAAAAGUAGUAUAUAUGCUUAUAAUAAAAAUGCUAUUAAUUUAAUUCCUAUUAAAAGCAAAUAUGUAAUAGAAAUUAAUUAAAGCAUACUUUAAUUUAUAUCAUUUACAACUAGAAUCUUUAUUAAGAAAAAAUAGAUUACGUCGUAGAUUUAGAAAAAUAUCAACUAAUAGAAUAUUUAUUAGUGAUGGUGAAUUUAAACAUACUAAUGAUAAAGUAAAUAUAACAUUAUAUGUUUAUAAUAAACAAAAACUUAAUUACUUAUUAAGACUUAAAAAAAGAUAUUUAACUUUAUUUAAAAAAGCUAAAUUUGCUAGAAAAUUAAAAUUAAUAAAAAAUAGAGGAUUAACUCUUUUGUUUAAACAUAAACAAAAAAGUAUAUUAUUAAGUAAUCUUUUACCUAAUUAUAAUACUCAAGUAAAUACAGCACAAAAUAUUUACUAUACAAGAUUUAUUAAAAAAAGUUUUAGAAGAUUAAAAUUCUAUAUGUAUUAUAAACAAAUGCUUUAUAUUAAUAAAGCUAAAUUUGAAAAUACUUAUCUACAAGGUUUAAUAAGUUUAGUAAGAAAUAUUUUUAAUAAAAAUGUUGAAUUUAAUAUCAUUAAUUUAAAAUAUUUUUAUUUUAAUAGUAAAAUAUUUACUCAACCUUUAGAAUUAAAAUUAAAAAAAAAAGAAAUGUUUUAAGAUAUCUUAAAGUUUUAAUAAGAAAAGCAAAAAUUAAAAAUGUUAAAUUAGCAGAAAAAUCUAAAAAAUUUUUUAAUUUUAAUAUUUUUAAUAGUGAUAAUUUUUUACUACAAGAUAAUACUAAAUCUAAGUAUUUAAAAAAAAUUAUUUUAAGUAAUUUAAAAUAUAAAAGAGUAUCUGGUGUUAGAUUAGAAGCUGCUGGUAGAUUAACUAGACGUUUUUCAGCUUCUAGAUCUCAACGUAGAACUAAAUAUAAAGGAAAUUUAGAAAAUGUUUAUUCUUCAUUUAAAGGUUAUCCUACACCAGUAUUAAGAGGAAAUGAGAAAGCUAAUUUACAAUAUACUGUUCUUAACUCAACUUCACGUGUUGGAGCUUUUGGUGUUAAAGGUUGAGUAAGUAGUACUUAAUUUCUCUUUUCUUUUUUAUUUACAAUUUUCCCUCCCUUAUAUUAAUUAAUAAAGAUGAUGAAAUAGUCUGAACCGUUUUGAGAAAAAUGGAAAUAAAAGUAUAUUCAGCUUUAGGCUGAAUCUUUUAUGAUAACAUAAAUUGAACAGGCUAAUUUGCGCAAGAGAGUACAAAUUGAGUGCGCGGUUUGGCACCUCGAUGUCGGCUUAGCUCAUCCUCAUGCAUGCAGAAAUCAUGAAGGGUUCGACUGUUCGUCGAUUAAAGAGCUACAUGAGCUGGGUUUAAUACGUCGUGAGACAGUAUGGUUUCUAUCU